rnacentral:ncRNA from 1 species
UAUUUCAUACAUUAAUAGGGAAUACGGUGAAAGGCCGUAGCAGCUCACUCUACUGUAUAAUGGACGAACAGCAAUUGUCACUGGCCUAUUUGAGGGCUGGGAAGAUGCUUAGUAGGAUGAAAUUGAGCCAGGAGACCUGCCGUGAUUGAA